rnacentral:rRNA from 1 species
GUAUAGCAAUUAUACCGCGAAACUGCGAAUGGCUCAUUAUAUAAGUUAUCGUUUAUUUGAUAGUACCUUACUACUUGGAUAACCGUGGUAAUUCUAGAGCUAAUACAUGCUAAAAAUCCCGACUUCGGAAGGGAUGUAUUUAUUAGAUUAAAAACCAAUGCCCUUCGGGGCUCACUGGUGAUUCAUGAUAACUCCUCGAAUCGCAUGGCCUUGUGCCGGCGAUGGUUCAUUCAAAUUUCUUCCCUAUCAACUUUCGAUGUUUGGGUAUUGGCCAAACAUGGUUGCAACGGGUAACGGAGGGUUAGGGCUCGACCCCGGAGAAGGAGCCUGAGAAACGGCUACUACAUCCAAGGAAGGCAGCAGGCGCGCAAAUUACCCAAUCCCGACACGGGGAGGUAGUGACAAUAAAUACUGAUACAGGGCUCUUUUGGGUCUUGUAAUUGGAAUGAGUACAAUUUAAAUCCCUUAACGAGGAACAAUUGGAGGGCAAGUCUGGUGCCAGCAGCCGCGGUAAUUCCAGCUCCAAUAGCGUAUAUUAAAGUUGUUGUGGUUAAAAAGCUCGUAGUUGAACCUUGGGCCUGGCUGGCCGGUCCGCCUCACCGCGUGUACUGGUCCGGCCGGGCCUUUCCCUCUGUGGAACCCCAUGCCCUUCACUGGGUGUGGCGGGGAAACAGGACUUUUACUGUGAAAAAAUUAGAGUGCUCCAGGCAGGCCUAUGCUCGAAUACAUUAGCAUGGAAAUAAUAAAAUAGGACGUGUGGUUCUAUUUUGUUGGGUUUCUAGGACCGCCGUAAUGAUUAAUAGGGACAGUCGGGGGGCAUCAAUAUUCAAAUUGUCAGAGGUGAAAAUUCUUUGGAUUUAUUGAAGACUAACUACUGGCCAAAGCCUUUGGCCAAGGAUGUUUUUCAUUUAAUCAAGAACCAAA